UACGUAGGGUGCAAGCGUUAAUCGGAAUUACUGGGCGUAAAGCGUGCGCAGGCGGCUAUGCAAGACAGACGUGAAAUCCCCGGGCUUAACCUGGGAAUGGCGUUUGGGACUGGGAGUCUGGAGUGCGGCAGAGGAGACUGGAAUUCCUGGUGUAGCAGUGAAAUGCGUAGAUAUCAGGAGGAACACCGAUGGCGAAGGCAGGUCUCUGGGCUGACACUGACGCUCAUGCACGAAAGCGUGGGGAGCAAACAGG
rnacentral:rRNA from 1 species